GAUGAAGAACGUAGCGAAAUGCGAUACGUAAUGUGAAUUGCAAAUUCAGUGAAUCAUCGAGUCUUUGAACGCACAUUGCGCCCCCUGGUAUUCCGGGGGGCAUGCCUCUCCGAGCGUCAUUGCUGCCCUCAAGCACGGCUUGUGUGUUGGGCCCCGUCCUCCGAUCCCGGGGGACGGGCCCGAAAGGCAGCGGCGGCACCGCGUCCGGUCCUCGAGCGUAUGGGGCUUUGUCACCCGCUCUGUAGGCCCGGCCGGCGCUUGCCGAUCAACCCAAAUUUUUAUCCAGGUUGACCUCGGAUCAGGUAGGGAUACCCGCUGAACUUAAGCAUAUCAAUAAGCGGAGGA
rnacentral:misc_RNA from 1 species